rnacentral:rRNA from 1 species
UACGGGGGGAGCAAGCGUUGUUCGGAUUUACUGGGCGUAAAGGGCGCGUAGGCGGCCUGCUAAGUCGAACGUGAAAUCCCCGAGCUCAACUCGGGAACUGCGUCCGAUACUGACAGGCUUGAAUCCGGGAGAGGGAUGCGGAAUUCCAGGUGUAGCGGUGAAAUGCGUAGAUAUCUGGAGGAACACCGGUGGCGAAGGCGGCAUGCUGGACCGGCAUUGACGCUGAGGCGCGAAAGCUAGGGGAGCAAACGGG